rnacentral:rRNA from 1 species
AAUCAACGCUGGCGGCGUGCCUCAGACAUGCAAGUCGAACGAUUAAAGCUCCCUUCGGGGAGUGCAUAAAGUGGCGCACGGGUGAGUAACACGUAAGUAAUCUACCUUCGAGUGGGGAAUAACGUUCGGAAACGAACGCUAAUACCGCAUAAUGCAGCGGCAUCUAUGAUGACAGUUGUUAAAGAUUUAUCGCUUGAAGAGGAGCUUGCGGCAGAUUAGCAGUUGGUAAGGUAAUGGCUUACCAAGGCUACGAUCUGUAUCCGGUCUAAGAGGACGGUCGGACACACUGACACUGAAUAACGGGUCAGACUCCUAC